rnacentral:lncRNA from 1 species
GGUGGAGGAGGUGGUGGUGACUUGUACACGUAGUGUUCCUUAGGUGGAGGCGGCGGUGGUGACUUGUAAACAUAAUGAUGCUUAGGUGGUGGGGGUGGAGAUUUCUUAGGAGGAGGUGGUGGUGACUUGUAAACGUAGUGUUCCUUAGGUGGAGGUGGAGGUGGUGACUUGUAAACGUAAUGAUGUUUAGGUGGUGGUGGUGGAGAUUUCUUAGGUGGAGGUGGUGGUGGUGACUUGUACACGUAGUGUUCCUUCGGUGGAGGUGGAGGUGGUGAUUUGUAAACGUAAUGAUGCUUAGGUGGUGGUGGUGGAGAUUUCUUAGGUGGCGGAGGUGGUGGUGACUUGUACACGUAAUGUUCCUUAGGUGGAGGUGGUGGUGGUGACUUGUACACGUAAUGAUGUUUAGGUGGUGGUGGUGGUGGGGAUUUCUUUGGUGGAGGAGGUGGUGGUGACUUGUACACGUAGUGUUCCUUCGGUGGAGGUGGUGGUGGUGACUUGUACACGUAGUGUUCCUUUGGUGGAGGCGGUGGCGGCGAUUUGUAAACGUAAGGAUGCUUGGGUGGUGGUGGUGGUGGAGAUUUCUUUGGUGGAGGAGGUGGUGGUGACUUGUAUACGUAGUGUUCCUUAGGUGGAGGAGGUGGAGACGAGUAAGGGUAGUUUGCGGUAGUCAAUGAUGGGAAACUUGAGAGUAUAACCACUACAAGAGUGACUAAAAGGGUGACUAUUGAAGACAUCUUCCUAUCGGUUCCCAUUUCUACCCCAAAGGAGUGGAUUUGAGUU